CCGGCGUUUUUCCGAACCACCGCAAAUUGAUUGAGUAGCUGCGAUUCUUGUAGUGUUAUUUCUCCCCGUCAACGACUGGUCAAGAUAGUGGCGGUUUUGUAUAUCAACCGCCACAAAUAACACUUUGCUCAAUUUGAUUUCAUAUUUGAAAUUGGGUGAAGUAAGGCCAUUAAUCCUCGUUUUCUUGCGAACCCAAAAGGGGGCAAAGGCACCAAUCACCAGUUUCAAGACUCCUUGUCACCGUAUACCUUCCGUUCAUUAGCUGCAGCUGCUACAUCCUUCCUCGUCACGGAUCUGCUCAAGUUGCCGCAUAGCUCUCGUGUGCGAAAUGAAGGUGGAGAGGCACGUCCGUUGUUCGUCCCUCCAUCAUGCACAUCCCGGUGUCGUGGCGUGGCUUCCCAACCAUCCCGGUGUCAUCGUCCUCAACCUUCCCCCUUGCCCUGUUGUGCGCCACUCAAACGCUCCCUCUCCCCUCUUCCUGGGAAAUUGGAAGAGAGGGACCUCUUUCUUUGCGGCUCUAGCAUCUCGUUUUGCAAGGUGAUGGAAUAGGCAUCUCCGUUCUCUUUGCUGAAGCACACAAUAUCAUUCACAAGAGAUUUUUGGUUCAACAAAUUGCCUAUUAACUCAUGGCUGGAUGUAUUCUCAGCACACAUGCACAUAGAAAUUGAUUCAAUUCGGAACAGAGUACCGCAAGAAAUUUGGCUUUGGGUUCAUAACAAGCACAGACAUAUUUCUUUCAUACCGAAUACUAGAAGAGGUGAAGUUGGCAUAGUCUUUAGUUGCCCCAAAGCUUGAAAUGUUGCUGAUUCUGAAUGGAAAGUGCCUCUUGAUUAGUUGUGUUGAUGACUUCUAGCUUCUAAUUAUUACACUACUUCAGACUGCACUUUCUUAUAUUGUGCAAGCACGCUAUGAUAAAAGUUUUAUUGUUGAACUUGAAAUUGCAUCUCGAGAGGAAUUCAUUCUUAUAGAAAGACGUCUUACACGACUUUGGGAACGUUUAGCUCGGCAUAAGAUUCAAGAGACUCCAAAAGAAACAGAAGAGAUAGUUCAAGAUUUAAUGCAAGACGAAGACGUGGUGCCAGCCGAUAGUUCUGAUGAGGUUGUUUCUAUUGAACACAAUGCUUCCAUGCUAACUUUUGACCUAAAUAAAACACCAGAAGAGAAUGAGAUCUUUUGAUUCAUGUUGUUUGUUUGGUAUUUUGACUUGGGUUUUAGAUUCCAGUUGUUUGGGCUUUAAUUUGAUCUUAUUACAUACCUUUGAGUUCUGACGGACCUUGUUUGAACUUGUUUCCUGAAAAAUUGGGACUAAAAUGAACUCAGUGACUGAUGUGACGUUAUAUUUGGAUGUUGAAUUUGAUGAAGUAGCAAUGAACUUAUUGGAGAUUGAACUCAAAUUGACUUGAGUUACCUUAGUAUUGUGUAACUUGGAAUGGUUUUGAGACAUGAUUCGAAUGAAUCCAAGGUUUUUAUA